AUUGAACGCUGGCGGCAGGCUUAACACAUGCAAGUCGAGCGGAGAUGAGGUGCUUGCACCUUAUCUUAGCGGCGGACGGGUGAGUAAUGCUUAGGAAUCUGCCUAUUAGUGGGGGACAACAUUCCGAAAGGGAUGCUAAUACCGCAUACGUCCUACGGGAGAAAGCAGGGGAUCUUCGGACCUUGCGCUAAUAGAUGAGCCUAAGUCGGAUUAGCUAGUUGGUGGGGUAAAGGCCUACCAAGGCGACGGUCUGUAGCGGGUCUGAGAGGAUGAUCCGCCACACUGGGACUGAGACACGGCCCAGACUCCUACGGGAGGCAGCAGUGGGGAAUAUUGGACAAUGGGGGGAACCCUGAUCCAGCCAUGCCGCGUGUGUGAAGAUGGCCUUAUGGUUGUAAAGCACUUUAAGCGAGGAGGAGGCUACUGAGACUAAUACUCUUGGAUAGUGGACGUUACUCGCAGAAUAAGCACCGGCUAACUCUGUGCCAGCAGCCGCAGUAA
rnacentral:rRNA from 1 species